GACCAAAGCACUGAGCCUAGUUCAGGGCUGCUUCCCUCUUCUGACAAUUAAACUUUGAGACACCAAGACACAAUCUGGGGGAGAUGAUUGGGUAGAAGGUAUUUCUCUACUCAUUUUCCGCAUAGCCUACCAAA